rnacentral:misc_RNA from 1 species
CGACGUUGUAAAACGACGUUAUGCAUGAACGUAAUGCUCAUAACUUCCCUUUAGACCUAGCUGCUAUUGAAGUUCCAUCUACAAUUGGAUAAUACUUUGGUCCUAGUCUAUAUGAGUUUUUGAAAGUAAGGGAGCAAUCACCUCUUGUUCUAUCAAAAGUGCAUUGCUCCUUUACUUUUCUUUUUUUAUUACGACUAGAGUAGUCUUUUCUUGACAGAUCGUUUUUUUGUUACAAGAAAAUGAUUUUCAUGCUUUGGUUCAUGAUUGAGUCUCCUUUUUCGUUUUGUAUUCCUUUCGAAUUGAGAUACCUUUGUUUUGUGAAAUUUUUCUUUUCCAUUCAAAAGAAAAGAUAAAAUUUGCUUAAGACUUUCAAUUUCUAUCUCUGAAAUAAGAAAGAAAUA